ACUACACAUUGUUAGAGCUUGGAGUUGAAGCGGCUGGCUGGCCAGUGAAAUCACAAGCGUAGGUAUUGUGCUACAUGAAAGGCAAGUCUUUCACUAACGCCACAAGGGUUUCUGGCCCAAUGAGUGGAGUUUGAUAGUAAUUCUUGCUACAAGU
ensembl:snoRNA SNORA62 Small nucleolar RNA SNORA62/SNORA6 family